rnacentral:rRNA from 1 species
UGCCAUGUGCGAAACCUGAUGCAGCGACGCCGCGUGAGGGAUGACGGCCUUCGGGUUGUAAACCUCUUUCAGUAGGGAAGAAGCGAAAGUGACGGUACCUGCAGAAGAAGCACCGGCUAACUACGUGCCAGCAGCCGCGGUAAUACGUAGGGUGCGAGCGUUAUCCGGAAUUAUUGGGCGUAAAGAGCUCGUAGGCGGUUUGUCGCGUCUGUCGUGAAAGUCCGGGGCUUAACCCCGGAUCUGCGGUGGGUACGGGCAGACUAGAGUGCAGUAGGGGAGACUGGAAUUCCUGGUGUAGCGGUGGAAUGCGCAGAUAUCAGGAGGAACACCGAUGGCGAAGGCAGGUCUCUGGGCUGUAACUGACGCUGAGGAGCGAAAGCAUGGGGAGCGAACAGGAUUAGAUACCCUGGUAGUCCAUGCCGUAAACGUUGGGCACUAGGUGUGGGGACCAUUCCNNGGUUUCCGCGCCGCAGCUAACGCAUUAAGUGCCCCGCCUGGGGAGUACGGCCGCAAGGCUAAAACUCAAAGGAAUUGACGGGGGCCCGCACAAGCGGCGGAGCAUGCGGAUUAAUUCGAUGCAACGCGAAGAACCUUACCAAGGCUUGACAUGUUCUCGAUCGCCGUAGAGAUACGGUUUCCCCUUUGGGGCGGGUUCACAGGGGUGCAGGUUGUCGUCAGUCGUUCGUG